UUAACUAUUAUAUAGUACUCAGACAAUACUAAACAGAAGAGUUGGGGUCCUCUGGCAGGCACAGUCAGCCGGAGCCGACGCCGAAUGGCGGCCUGCCAAAGCAACAAAGGUAUGUAAACACGGUGUGGAAAUAGAACCCAUUUUCGAAAAAACGGGACGUAUUUUUAAUGAUCCUUCCGCAGGUUCACCUACGGAAA
rnacentral:misc_RNA from 1 species